rnacentral:misc_RNA from 1 species
GAUGAAGAACGCAGCAAAAUGCGAUAAGUAAUGUGAAUUGCAGAAUUCAGUGAAUCAUCGAAUCUUUGAACGCACAUUGCGCCCGCUGGUAUUCCGGCGGGCAUGCCUAUUCGAGCGUCAUUUCAACCCUCAAGCCCCCGGGUUUGGUGUUGGGGAUCGGCUCUGCCCUUCUGGGCGGUGCCGCCCCCGAAAUACAUUGGCGGUCUCGCUGCAGCCUCCAUUGCGUAGUAGCUAACACCUCGCAACUGGAACGCGGCGCGGCCAUGCCGUAAAACCCCAACUUCUGAAUGUUGACCUCGGAUCAGGUAGGAAUACCCGCUGAACUUAAGCAUAUCAAUAAGCGGAGGA